rnacentral:rRNA from 1 species
UGCAGUCGAGGGGCAGCAUAAUGGAUAGCAAUAUCUAUGGUGGCGACCGGCGCACGGGUGCGUAACGCGUAUGCAACCUACCUUUAACAGGGGGAUAACACUGAGAAAUUGGUACUAAUACCCCAUAAUAUCAUAGAAGGCAUCUUUUAUGGUUGAAAAUUCCGAUGGUUAGAGAUGGGCAUGCGUUGUAUUAGCUAGUUGGUGGGGUAACGGCUCACCAAGGCGACGAUACAUAGGGGGACUGAGAGGUUAACCCCCCACACUGGUACUGAGACACGGACCAGACUCCUACGGGAGGCAGCAGUGAGGAAUAUUGGUCAAUGGACGCAAGUCUGAACCAGCCAUGCCGCGUGCAGGAUGACGGCUCUAUGAGUUGUAAACUGCUUUUGUACGAGGGUAAACGCAGAUACGUGUAUCUGUCUGAAAGUAUCGUACGAAUAAGGAUCGGCUAACUCCGUGCCAGCAGCCGCGGUAAUACGGAGGAUUCAAGCGUUAUCCGGAUUUAUUGGGUUUAAAGGGUGCGUAGGCGGUUUGAUAAGUUAGAGGUGAAAUUUCGGGGCUCAACCCUGAACGUGCCUCUAAUACUGUUGAGCUAGAGAGUAGUUGCGGUAGGCGGAAUGUAUGGUGUAGCGGUGAAAUGCUUAGAGAUCAUACAGAACACCGAUUGCGAAGGCAGCUUACCAAACUAUAUCUGACGUUGAGGCACGAAAGCGUGGG